ensembl:lncRNA
GGGAGGGGAGGGAGGGAUAUGAUCACUACAGUACCUGAAAGCCCCUGAUCUGCUCCUCUCUGGACUCCCCUCAGGGUAAGACUCUUAGAGAUAUUUACCCUUGUCCUAAGCUUCUCAUAAGUCCCUUACUGUUGGACACACUGUUGUAUUCUUGUCUUACGACCUCAUAUCUGUUUCUGUGAACGUGUCUCUCAUCACACGCUGUAAGAAGCUAAUGGCUCCAACAUGAUGCUGAUGUGUUCUGCGUAGAAAUGAUCUCAACAAUAAAAAGGUAAAACAAAACAAAAACAACAACACAUUAGUCAUGGUAAAUAUAAGAAGACUGUGAACAUGCCACACAAAUCAACUCCAUUCACGUUCAAAGACUCAAAAGACUAGUCAUAACAGAACAGCAAUCAAGGCUGAGUUAGUUCACCCCACGAACAGCUCUUCUGUGAGUUCUGUUUGUCAUGAAGAGUUCUGUCUGUCAUGAAGAGUUCUAUCUGUAAUGAAGAGUUCUAUCUGUAAUGAAGAGUUCUGUCUGUCAUGAAGAGUUCUAUCUGUAAUGAAGAGUUCUGUCUGUAAUGAAGAAUUCUAUCUGUAAUGAAGAGUUCUAUCUGUAAUGAAGAGUUCUGUCUGUAAUGAAGAAUUCUAUCUGUAAUGAAGAGUUCUGUCUGGAAUGAAGAGUUCUGUCUGGAAUGAAGAGUUCUGUCUGUGAUGAAGAGUUCUGUCUGUAAUGAAGAAUUCUAUCUGUAAUGAAGAGUUCUAUCUGUAAUGAAGAGUUCUGUCUGUAAUAAAGAGUUCUAUCUGUCAUGAAGUUCUAUCUGUUAUGCAGUGAAUUCUAUCUGUAAUGUAGUAAGUGAGUUGCCAUGGCGAUGAGACGAUGAGCUUAGGACAGGGAAAGUUGUAGGGAUGCAGCACAGGCAUUUAGACUGGUCUCUCCACUGGCAUCUAAACUGGUCUCUGCACUGGCAUUUCUCUCUGCCUUCUGAAGACUGAACAGCAGUUCAGGAAAGCUGAUGCUCCAUCUGAGCUGUAUCUGAUGGCCUCUCUGUCUGUCUGACUGUCUGUCUGUCUGUCUGUCUCUCUGUCUGACUGUCUGUCUGUCUGACUGUCUGUCUGACUGUCUGUCUGACUGUCUGUCUCCUUCUUUGUUUUCUGUGAUAUGAGUGUUGAAGACACAUCGCACAGAGACCUGAGUGGAGUGACAGAAGAUAAUGAGAGCCCAGCAGAAAGAUGAGGAGAGGCAAGAGGAAGAAGGCAGAGACAGAGACAGAGACAGAGACAGACAGAGUCAGAGAGAGAGACAGCUCCAUGUGUAGAUAAUUCAUCAAGUUCAUCAGAGGAUUUACACAGAAAAGAAAGACUCACUUUCAUGUUGUGAGGAGUGGGAAUCAUGUGAGGAGAGACAAGAGUGAGACAGGAGUGAGGAGAGACAGGAGUGAGACAGGAGUAAGGAGAGACAGGAGUGUGACAGGAGUGAGGAGAGACAGGAGUGAGACAGGAGUGAGGAGAGACAGGAGUGAGACAGGAGUGAGGAGAGACAUGAGUGAGACAGGAGUGAAGGGAGUCAAGAGUGAGGAAAGACAGGAGUGAGGAGAGACAGGAGUGAGGAGCUCUUGAGGAGAGUGAGAGGAGAGUGAGAGUGAGAGUGUGGCAGGAGUGAAGCUUCAUGCUGCUGUCUGCUGUGGCUCAUUCAGUCUCUAUGUCACAUCUCUCUCUCUCUGCCUCUCUUUCUCUCUCUCUAUGCCAGCCUCUCUCUCUCUCUCAUAGGACAGUCUCUCUGUUUCUCUGACAGUCUCUCAAUUUAAUCUCUCUCCUUCUCUCUGACAGCCUCUCUCUCUCAAGCGGGCCUUGAAUCCAUCCAUGCUAUAACCUGUACACUGAAGCCAAACUCAGAGAAAAAAGACUGCCAGGAUAAUGUCAAUAGCCGAUACAUUUAUGGUGAAGAUAAAUGUGUUAUCUCAAUACCCCCCCUCGAUGGUUUCAUGUCAUGCACUGGAUUGAUGAGUACUUCCUCUCUGUGAUGUCAUGCGCUGGAUUGAUGAGUACCUCCUCUCUGUGAUGUCAUGCACUGGAUUGAUGAUGACUUCCUCUCUGUGAUGUCAUGCAUUGGAUUGAUGAUGACUUCCUCUCUGUGAUGUCAUGUACUGGAUUGAUGAUGACUUUCUCUCUGUGAUGUCAUGCACUGGAUUGAUGAUGACUUCCUCUCUGUGAUGUCAUGCACUGGAUUGAUGAUGACUUCCUCUCUGUGAUGUCAUGCACUGGAUUGAUGAUGACUUCCUGUCUGGCUGGACUGAGUAUUGCUCUGUUUGGAUCCGUGCGUUAGUAACUGGGAGUUAGUUUGUGCUUUUGUCUCAUCUGACAACUUUAGCUUUCCGUUAUAAAUAUCACAGUCUUUAUUAUUAUUAUGUAAUCAGAAUGUUGUUAAGGCUUUUACAGCAGUAUCAGUGAAGAAUCAGUGUUACCAUAGAGAUUGUGGAGUCCCAGUAAAGAAUAAGUGUUACCAUGGAGAUUGUGGAGUCUCAGUGAAGAAUCAGUGUUACCAUAGAGAUUGUGGAGUCUCAGUGAAGAAUACGUGUUACCAUGGAGAUUGUGGAGUCUCAGUGAAGAAUACAUGUUACCAUGGAGAUUGUGGAGUCCCAGUAAAGAAUAAGUGUUACCAUGGAGAUUGUGGAGUCUCAGUGAAGAAUGAGUGUUACCAUAGAGAUUGUGGAGUCUCAGUGAAGAAUCAGUGUUACCAUAGAGAUUGUGGAGUCUCAGUGAAGAAUCAGUGUUACCAUAGAGAUUGUGUUUCUGGUCUACGCUGCCUCUGUGCUGCUAAUGACUUGAGAGUAAAGAUGGAAUCUGAUUUAGUCUCAAUAAAGAUUUAUGAUUUAUGUUCAUCUUAAUAUAUAUCGAUAUGAUAAAGAUGGAAACUGAUUUGCAUUAGUCAUGAUGAAUAUGGAAUCUGAUUUACGUUAGCCGUGAUAAAGAUUGGAUCUGAUUGUCGUUAGUCUUCAUAAAGAGAAUGAUUUCUCUUAGUCGUGUAGUCUUAUCUUGGCACGAUUGGACAGAACAAGUAAAGUCGUCAGCAAUAGGAGAAAGCAGAGAGAGUGAUGAGUGACUCACUGGAUUGCCACACACACACACACACACACACACACACACACACACACUGAUCUGAAUGAAAAUGAUUCUGCCAAAUGACCUCAAAGGAUUCCCUGGACUAACUCUGAAAUGGGUGUGUUAUUUCAGUGGAAGACACACAGAAUGGAGGUGUAGAGACACACUCCGGAUAUGAGCACAGCGAGAGGGAUGUGAGUAUAGCAUGUGAGACACACUCCGGAUGUGAGCGCAGCGAGGGGCAUGUGAGACACACUCCGGAUGUGAGCGCAGCGAGGGGCAUGUGAGACACACUCCGGAUGUGAGCACAGCGAGAGGCAUGUGAGUAUAGCAGUGAUGAGCCGUCUCUCACAGAUGGCGCUUUUCUAAAACUCCACCACGAUUCCUCCCUCUCGCCUGACUUCUGUUCUGUCGUGUGUGUGUGUGUGUGUGUGUGUGUGUGUGUGCGUGUGUGUGCGUGUGUGUGUGUGUGCUCCUCAACUCUGUUCUCAGACGCUUCCUGGAGACUCCUAAUGAGAGCGCUAAUUCCAGACAUACGGUUUCCAUGGCGACAGAUGAUAUUUACACACACUUGUGCAUGCCGCACCUGAAGCGAAGAGAGUGUGUGAGAUGCAUCACAGGAGCGUGAUUAUUAUAAUGCCCCUUCGACACCACAGACACUUCCAUGGACAGUAUAAUUCAUUUUCCUCAAGCAGAACAGAAAAUGCAAAGUGGAAAGCCCAAACUUUCAAUUGCAGAGAACAUUCCAGACUUUCUCCUGGGCAGCGCCCGACUCUGGCCAUAGAAGUGUGACAGACAUCCUCGUGUUCGCCUGAUCUCCAAACAAUGAUUAAUAUCCUUUUCAUCCUUGAAUGACGCCGUGAAAUAUACAGCAUUCAGAUAACAAUGGCACAAGAUGAGAAGUAAAUAAUAAACAGCUUUGUGUUAGUGCAAUCAGUGUGUGUGUGUGUGUGUGUGUGUAUAUAUGUGUGUGUGUGUAUAUGUGUGUGUGUGUGUAUGUGUGUGUGUGUAUGUGUGUGUGUGUGUGUGUGUUCAGUGCAAUCAGUGAGUGUGCACACAACAUACAGGGCUGGGGGUUCAAUGACCAGUAGUGGCAUUUCUAAAGCAGCAGGCCACCUGAUGCUGUCCUGGACUGACCUGAAGGCCUAGGGUUGGGGCUUGGGCUUAGGGCGAGGGUUGGGGCUAGGGUUAGGGCUUGGGUUAGGGCUUGGGUUAGGGCUUGGGCUAGGGUUAGGGCUUGGGUUAGGGCUUGGGCUAGGGCUAGGGUUAGGGCUUGGGCUAGGGUUAGGGCUUGGGUUAGGGCUUGGGUUGGGGCCUGGGGCGAGGGUUGGGGCUUGGGGCGAGGGUUAGGGCUUGGGGCUUGGGUUAGGGCUUGGGCUAGGGUUGGGGCUUGGGCUUGGGCUUGGGCUAGGGCCCUAUCAGGACCUUUAGUAUGGAAAUGUGAAAUAUCUUUGCCUCUGAGUCCAGCUUCUGCAGUCUGAUGUGUCCAGAGAGGCUUUGUGAAGUUCAGUGUGUGACCGCUCCAUGUGCACAUGACACAGCACCCCCCCCCCUGGGUUAUUUAAUGGUUCAGCCCCCCCCGUCCUUUUCUCCUUCCGCGUGUCGGGUCUCUUGAAGGGUUUAGGGAUAUUACUAAGCGUCUGGGAGCAGCCGAAGCCCAUUUGAAGCAUGGUGAGAACAAAUUAGAAAACCUCUGAAAUCCCCAGAGCCUUCGUAGUAAAAAAACUGAAUUUUAGAUAACACCAUUUUAAAAAUCAGCCUUGGAGAGGAGCGUCAAACUGGAGCACUAAAUGAGAUUAACAGUCCAACGACUUCAUAGCGAUGCUUUGAUAAGAGUUCGAAGUGACCUCUUUUAUAGAAAAAUAGAGAAGACAAUUUCACUUCAAAAUGGGAUCUAUGAACAAUGGACUGAAAUCAAAACUUUGGGUAAAGUAGUUUUUCAUCAAUUUUCAUAUUUUUCUAUCUAGAACGCAGUAGUGCUUGUUGAUAUAAAUAUUUUUGGACUUUUGCAACACAUUUCUUCAACUAUUUCAAAACAUAUUCAAAUAUUAGUUUGUUCUAACGUCACAUGUUGGCUGCCUCGAAAAGUGGACAGUGGGCUAGGGACGGGACGGGAGUGUGUCACCAGUGCGAGCGCGUGUCCCUCCACACACUCCACACACUCCGUGUCACCAGUGCGAGCGCGUGUCCCUUCGCACACACUCCACACACUCCGUGUCACCAGUGCUAGCGCUUGUCCCUGCGCACACACACACACUCCGCUGGGUAGGUAUGUACAAGCUGCGGGCGGCACAAAGUGGUGUGAUUGGCACAUCAGUCAGUCCCUCCGGUGGGCUGCCGUCUCCCCUGCGCACACUGACACAUACAGUACACUUAUAUAUCAUAUGGAUAUGGAUAUAUAUAUUUAUAUUUAUAUAUAUAUAUAUAUAUAUAUAUUUGUCAACUCUAAGGAUUCUCUAAAUUGCCGUAGGUCUAUGGAAAAUAAUUAGGAGUGGCAUCCGUAGCUCUGCAUUACUUUGCAAUUCUUUUAGAAAAAUAAAUCUGUUUGCUCGAGUCCAGAGAGAGCCCCGUCCAGGAGAAAUCUCUUCUUUUUCUUUUCUUUCAUUUUCUCCUUGUGUUGUUUCUGCUCCGGUAAUUGGUUUUCACGCAGUGUAAAAGUUUUCCAAAUGGAUCCUGAGGG